rnacentral:rRNA from 1 species
CCUACGGGUGGCAGCAGUGGGGAAUAUUGGACAAUGGGGGCAACCCUGAUCCAGCCAUGCCGCGUGUGUGAAGAAGGCCCUCGGGUUGUAAAGCACUUUCAGUGAGGAAGAACGCCUGGUGGUUAAUACCCAUCAGGAAAGACAUCACUCACAGAAGAAGCACCGGAUAACUCCGUGCCAGCAGCCGCGGUAAUACGGAGGGUGCGAGCGUUAAUCGGAAUUACUGGGCGUAAAGCGCGCGUAGGUGGCUUGAUAAGCCGGUUGUGAAAGCCCCGGGCUCAACCUGGGAACGGCAUCCGGAACUGUCAAGCUAGAGUGCAGGAGAGGAAGGUAGAAUUCCCGGUGUAGCGGUGAAAUGCGUAGAGAUCGGGAGGAAUACCAGUGGCGAAGGCGGCCUUCUGGACUGACACUGACACUGAGGUGCGAAAGCGUGGGUAGCAAACAGGAUUAGAUACCCUAGUAGUC